AUUGAACGCUGGCGGCAGGCCUAACACAUGCAAGUCGAGCGGAUGAAGGGCACUUGCUCCUGGAUUCAGCGGCGGACGGGUGAGUAAUGCCUAGGAAUCUGCCUGGUAGUGGGGGAUAACGUCCGGAAACGGGCGCUAAUACCGCAUACGUCCUGAGGGAGAAAGUGGGGGAUCUUCGGACCUCACGCUAUCAGAUGAGCCUAGGUCGGAUUAGCUAGUUGGUGGGGUAAAGGCCUACCAAGCCGACGAUCCGUAACUGGUCUGAGAGGAUGAUCAGUCACACUGGAACUGAGACACGGUCCAGACUCCUAAGGGAGGCAGCAGUGGGGAAUAUUGGACAAUGGGCGAAAGCCUGAUCCAGCCAUGCCGCGUGUGUGAAGAAGGUCUUCGGAUUGUAAAGCACUUUAAGUUGGGAGGAAGGGCAGUAAGUUAAUACCUUGCUGUUUUGACGUUACCAACAGAAGAAGCACCGGCUAACUACGUG
rnacentral:rRNA from 1 species